UACGGAGGGGGCUAGCGUUGUUCGGAAUUACUGGGCGUAAAGCGCACGUAGGCGGCUUUUUAAGUCAGAGGUGAAAUCCUGGAGCUCAACUCCAGAACUGCCUUUGAUACUGGAGAGCUUGAGUCCGGGAGAGGUGAGUGGAACUGCGAGUGUAGAGGUGAAAUUCGUAGAUAUUCGCAAGAACACCAGUGGCGAAGGCGGCUCACUGGCCCGGUACUGACGCUGAGGUGCGAAAGCGUGGGGAGCAAACAGG
rnacentral:rRNA from 1 species